rnacentral:rRNA from 1 species
UACGGAGGGAGCUAGCGUUGUUCGGAAUUACUGGGCGUAAAGGGCGCGUAGGCGGCCUGUUAAGUCGAACGUGAAAUCCCCGGGCUCAACCCGGGAACUGCGUCCGAUACUGGCAGGCUUGAAUCCGGGAGAGGGAUGUGGAAUUCCAGGUGUAGCGGUGAAAUGCGUAGAUAUCUGGAGGAACACCGAUGGCGAAGGCAAUCCCCUGGACCUGUACUGACGCUCAUGCACGAAAGCGUGGGGAGCAAACAGG